rnacentral:rRNA from 1 species
AGAGUUUGAUCAUGGCUCAGAAUCAACGCUGGCGGCGCGCUUAACACAUGCAAGUCGCACGAGAAAGGGGAGCAAUCCCUGAGUACAGUGGCGUACGGGUGAGUAACACGUGGAUUAUCUACCUUCUAGUGGGGAAUACCUCUGGGAAACCGGAGACAAUACCGCAUAAGCUCGUGAGAGGAAAGCAGCAAUGCGCUGGAAGAGGAGUCCGCGGCUGAUUAGCUAGUUGGCGGGGUAAUGGCCCACCAAGGCGAAGAUCGGUAGCCGGCCUGAGAGGGCACACGGCCACACUGGCACUGAAACACGGGCCAGACUCCUACGGGAGGCAGCAGUGGGGAAUCUUGCACAAUGGAGGCAACUCUGAUGCAGCGACGCCGCGUGAGCGAUGAAGCCCUUCGGGGUGUAAAGCUCUUUCGACGGGAACGAUAAUGACGGUACCCGAAGAAGAAGCUGCGGCUAACUACGUGCCAGCAGCCGCGGUAAUACGUAGGCAGCGAGCGUUGUUCGGAAUUACUGGGCGUAAAGAGUGUGUAGGCGGUGCUCUAAGUCUGUUGUGAAAUCUCCCGGCUCAACUGGGAGGGUGCGGCGGAAACUGGAGUGCUCGAGUGUGGGAGAGGUAAGCGGAAUUCCUGGUGUAGCGGUGAAAUGCGUAGAUAUCAGGAGGAACACCUGUGGUGUAGACAGCUUACUGGACCACGACUGACGCUGAGACACGAAAGCGUGGGUAGCAAACAGGAUUAGAUACCCCCGUAGUCC